UCCGUGUAUCUGAUUAGACUUCGGUACGACAGAAGAACCAAGGACCGCAAAAAGCUGUUAUUGUGCUCAGUUACACUUUUGCUGACGGAGAGGUAGACAUGUUUUGGUGUAGAGACUAGCAAACUGCCAGUCAUGGACAUAAAGCCAACAUUGUAACCUCGUAUGCCUGGCAGUGGCGCACUUCAGGGGCCGGUGAAAUCGCUUGUCUACAAACGAGCAGUUUGCUCGUUUGCAGCCGGGCAAAGGUGGAGAAAAUGUUGCUGGGCAAACGCUUCGCUUCUGCCCGCUUGUGUAGACGGACCUUUACACUUGGUCCGAUGUGUAGAUGGAAGCAGCAGAAGGAAGAAAAAGGGGAAAACAAAAGAGGACGACGAAGAAAAAAGGAAAAAAAGAAAGAAACCAAAUUUAAAUAUUUAGCUAAGUAUCCCUUUGUAAUCUUGUCGUUCUUUGUAAUGCUUUCUGGUGUUUAGGUGGUGUGUUUAGGGUAUUUCAAUUAUUAGGGAGUGUUUGGGUAGUAUUGCAUUUUGUUUUGGAUGUGUUUGGAUUCUUGUAAAUAUUUUAGGUGUAUUUUGUGUGUUAUGGGUGCAUUUUCUAUGUUCAGUGUGUGGUAGAUGGAUUUAGGUGUAUUUUACGUAUUUUGAGUGUUGGGAUGGUAUUGGAGUAUUUAGGUGUGUUUUGAGAGUGUUUGGAGGCAUUUCGAGAUGUUUUACGACAUUUUGAGUGUUGAGUGUGUGUUCUGGGUGUGCUUUGUGGUGUGGGGGUAUAAUGGGUGUUUCUAGGGAGUUUUGGGUAUGUUUGGGGGUGUUUUGAGACGUUUCAUGGUGUUUUGAGUGUUUGGGGUUAGUUUUCCCAGAGUUUUUGAGUGUUUUUAGUACUUUGAGUUUCUGGAUGUGUGGGACCGAUGUUAAUUCUUGGUGUGUUUGGGUAUGUGUGGGUCGUGUGGAUGUUCUGUUACUUUUGGGGUGAAUUUGUUCAUGAUAUUAGCGACUUUAGCGACAAGUAGUGAAUGAGCUGAAAGUGUAGGAGGGAGGGACUUCGUCAGCCACCUCGCCUCGCCCACUGCCAUCAUGCUAUGCCAUACCACGCCACACACCACACCAGUGACUGACUCUACAUGUCCAGCCGCCGCCGGUAUCACAGCCUGAGAUGAGAUGGGCACACACCACGCUAUGUAAGAGAAUCAUGAAUAGGGAAGGAGGUAGAGAGUAAGUUAGGGAAGGAGACAUGUAGGGAGAAAAGGGGCAGAGAAGAAGAGGCGUCUACGGAGUUAAUCUAUAAUAAUGUAUGCUUGAUGUGGGGGAGGUAGGUGUUCUCUUUCACUGACCUCUCACUUUCUUACCAGGUGUGGAGCGAAGGUUAACUGGAAGCCAAAAUGAACCUUGCCAAGCUGCCAACCGAGAAGAUGCAACUAUGUCAGAAAUAUCACAAGGGCCUCCUCGUUGAUGUGCAAGCCGGUGUUGGUGGUAGGCCGGCCCGAAGAACUUCCCUACUCAGCUUACCUGGCAGCCAUGAUGGGGUGAUGGCCAGCGAGGGAAGGCCGUGUGUCAAGCUGCUCCGCCCUCAACCCUGGCAACAUUCCUACGUAGUAUAUAGUGUUGAAAGGGCCCCCGCGGCUGUGCGGCGCUGGUGAGGAGCACUAAUCCUCAUAGCAGAGUCGCCGCCCCAGUUCACUGCGGGGAUAACGUGGAGGCGCGGGCGCUGGAGAUGCAGGGACCCUAAGUGACCAGAUUCGUCCCCAUCAGCCUGAAGCAAUUGAAGGCGCUAGCCAGACACGCGUUGGUUGGUCGAGGGAAAGAAGCAGCAGGCUGCUUGUUACGCCGCCGCCACCGACUACCAACCACGGGCAGACGGCGUGCUGCUACAGCGAGGGAGGAGCUGUGUGAAGGCUCCCAGGAGCGUGACCACUGCAGGAGGCACAGCCGCCAUUCUUACAUUACUCCCUGUCCUCGGCGACCGCCUGCUCACCCGUCGCGAGGCCAGAGUUGUAUUCCUCGUCCGCCACACGCCCAUGUACGUGAUGCUGCGGGCGGUCACAAGCAGCAGCCGCCAGCCCUCAACACGCUCUGUGAUGUUGUGUGUGCAGACCCAGAGUAGCGCGAGUGAUGAAUGACAGACAACCCAGCUGUAUCUCUCGGUCCUAGGACCUACAGACUAUUUACCUCCACGUCGGCCGUUUACGCUCGCCAGGCUGCAAAACUGCAAGAAGAGAUAGACAGCUGUGAUGGGCCAUUUUGUAUUUCCCAACAUCAAGUAUAUAAAAUAAGUAGUCUGUUAUGUUUGACAAGCCCUAUAACAAACACACAGUACUACUAGUUAGUACACUACUACUACUUAGUACUGAGGAAGGAAUACUACAAAUUAAAGCCCUCGGCUAUCCCCCCAGUUGUUGUUAGGGAGACGGGAGUGGUUGGUUGUACUUGCCGUCAAGUAAGGCAGCACCAACCACCCAGCGAGGUUUCCUGGCUGGCUUCUCUCUCAGAAGACACGGCUCUAAGUUCCAUGUCUUAUUUGAUGAUGUCUUGAGUCCUUCACCAACCAGGGAUGUGUGAUCAACUUGGUUGGUGACGACUGGUAAUAAAUAAUAAUCACCCGUUGCGAGGCCAGAGUUGUAUUCCUCGUCCGCCACACGCCCAUGAACGUGAUGCUGCGGGUGUUACGGGCUGCCCCUACGUCUCGCUGCGGGCGGUCACAAGCAGCCGCCAGCCCUCAACACGCUCUGGUGAGUGCAGACCCAGAGUAGCGAGUGAUGAAUGACAACCAGCUGUAUCUCUCGGUCCUAGGACCUGCAGACUGUUUUCCUGCACGUCGGCCGUUUACGCUCGCCAGGCUGCAAAACUGCAAGAAGAGAUAAAGACAGC